rnacentral:rRNA from 1 species
CCUACGGGGGGCUGCAGUGGGGAAUAUUGGACAAUGGGCGAAAGCCUGAUCCAGCCAUGCCGCGUGUGUGAAGAAGGCCUUCGGGUUGUAAAGCACUUUCAGUGGGGAAGAAAGCCUUGGGGCUAAUACCCUCGAGGAAGGACAUCACCCACAGAAGAAGCACCGGCUAACUCCGUGCCAGCAGCCGCGGUAAUACGGAGGGUGCGAGCGUUAAUCGGAAUUACUGGGCGUAAAGCGCGCGUAGGCGGUCUGAUAAGCCGGUUGUGAAAGCCCCGGGCUCAACCUGGGAACGGCAUCCGGAACUGUCAGGCUAGAGUGCAGGAGAGGAAGGUAGAAUUCCCGGUGUAGCAGUGAAAUGCGUAGAGAUCGGGAGGAAUACCAGUGGCGAAGGCGGCCUUCUGGACUGACACUGACGCUGAGGUGCGAAAGCGUGGGUAGCAAACAGGAUUAGAUACCCUUGUAGUC